GGCUGCAACUCGCCUACAUGAAGUCGGAAUUGCUAGUAAUCGCGGAUCAGCAUGCCGCGGUGAAUACGUUCCUGGGUCUUGUACACACCGCCCGUCACACCAUGGAAGUUGGGGGCGCCCGAAGUUGGUCGAGGAAUAGAUUACCUAAGGCGAAACCAAUGACUGGGGUGAAGUCGUAACAAGGUACC
rnacentral:rRNA from 1 species